CGCGGAACGUGUCUCUAGAGGGA
rnacentral:snRNA from 1 species